rnacentral:rRNA from 1 species
UACGGAGGGUGCAAGCGUUAUUCGGAAUCACUGGGCGUAAAGAGCGCGUAGGCGGUCUCUUAAGUCAGAUGUGAAAGCCCGGGGCUCAACCCCGGAAGUGCAUUUGAAACUAAGGGACUUGAGUAUGGGAGAGGGAAGUGGAAUUCCUGGUGUAGCGGUGAAAUGCGUAGAUAUCAGGAGGAACACCGGUGGCGAUGGCGACUUCCGGGACCAAUACUGACGCUGAGGCGCGAAGGCGUGGGGAGCAAACAGG